CGGGGUGCAGCCGCGGUGGUGGGCGCUGGGCAAGGAGCAGCGACGGCAGUGGUCAUCGGCCAGGAAGCAGCGUCGGUGGUGGAGAAGAUGUAGUGGUGGUCGGUGCAGGGAAGAAAAGGUUCCUUCUCGGUUGAGAAGGAACAACGUGCGGGGCUGCUGGCUUCACCCUUUCUCACAAAUUUUUUUUUUUUUAAUGAUAGCUAUGGCAACACAGCGAGAACGCCAAGGAUCGCCGCUCUGAUACCAAAUGAUAAGACCUUAAGGUCUUAUUAUCGCUCUGAUAUCAAAUGAUAAGACCCUAAAGUCUUAUUGUAGGCUCUGAUACCAAAUGAUAAGACCCUAAAGUCUUAUCGU
rnacentral:lncRNA from 1 species